rnacentral:rRNA from 1 species
CCUACGGGAGGCAGCAGUGGGGAAUCUUGCGCAAUGGGGGAAACCCUGACGCAGCCAUGCCGCGUGAAUGAUGAAGGUCUUAGGAUUGUAAAAUUCUUUCACCGGGGAAGAUAAUGACGGUACCCGGAGAAGAAGCUCCGGCUAACUUCGUGCCAGCAGCCGCGGUAAUACGAAGGGGGCUAGCGUUGCUCGGAAUUACUGGGCGUAAAGGGCGCGUAGGCGGACAGUUUAGUCAGAGGUGAAAGCCCAGGGCUCAACCUUGGAAUUGCCUUUGAUACUGACUGUCUUGAGUACGGGAGAGGUGUGUGGAACUCCGAGUGUAGAGGUGAAAUUCGUAGAUAUUCGGAAGAACACCAGUGGCGAAGGCGACACACUGGCCCGUAACUGACGCUGAGGCGCGAAAGCGUGGGGAGCAAACAGGAUUAGAUACCCUGGUAGUCCACGCCGUAAACGAUGAGUGCUAGUUGUCGGCAUGCAUGCAUGUCGGUGACGCAGCUAACGCAUUAAGCACUCCGCCUGGGGAGUACGGUCGCAAGAUUAAAACUCAAAGGAAUUGACGG